GAGGGCGUGAGGUUGAAAAGUAUGACGACAAGUAAUAGUUUUCUCUCUCUCUUUUCCCUGCGAUUUCAGGCAGCAUGGCUGUGUGUGAACGGGCUAAUUCCUGGGCUGUCGUCCCACACAUCUCCCCCCUCCCUCUCUCCCUCCCUCCCCCCACUCACGCACCCACCCACCGAAACAUGUAGCAACAAAGCGCCGUUGAAUGUAUCUACUCCCCCUCCGAAACUCAGGUAGCAACUCGAACGCACUGGACUCGCUAUUGUGUGCUAUCCGUAUUGUUUCAACGUGUCCGUUUGCAGUAAACAUUCGCGUUCUGGCGUUCAAUCCGGUUGACUUCAAAUAAAAGGAGAGAAUCCAGGGCCCCUCCUCCUUCCUUCCCUUUGGCGCCACCGCGACCUCUGGCGGUAAAACCCGGAACAUCAGGGAGAACCCAAGGAUAACAGGACCGUCUGACUAACCGGAACACAGAGACCCCUUGUGGCUACUUCCGUGAAUACACAUUUUCUUUCAAUAAAACAUUUAAACUACCUGCUACACACGAACCUUAUCACAUCCCCAUUUUCUCGGCGAUUGUCAAGCUGUACAUUCUAUACUUGAACUUCUAUUCUCUGCAUUUUCACUUCCUUAAUAAUGUUAAUGGAGGCAUGUUGAAGAUAUUACUACAAAUAAAAACAAGUAAACACAGAUACACACAUGCCUGCGCAUGUACACACACACAUGCAUACACACACAUUUUUGGAUGUAUUGGGAUGUUUUUUCAAUCAACAAAAUUUGUAUGAGUGAACUUGUGAAUGAACUUGUAAACCAUAAAAUAUAUCUCAACAUCUUACCAAAUGACUUCAUCCCCAGGUCUGUGCAUGAGUGCCUAAAAGUCUGAGGACAAAUGCUGCAUUUAUACUACCAUAGAUAGUUUCAGAAAGGCAUCGGCAAUGUGAAUAAUGAGUGGACAGUGGCGUCUUGUCUUAUCAGGAGAUGACAGAGUCAUUGUUUCUCUGGAAAAGCGAACGACUUAAAUCCGUUCAACAGCAAGUGACAAAUAAGCAGGAAAUAGUUGCUUAAAGGAUAGCAUCUAUUUUCCCACAGACAUUCUGUAUGUUCUUCUCUUUAUAUUAUGGUCUUUCUUGUUUUUUGUUUUUUUGGCAAGAAACACAUUGGCUUGAGUCAAUUUUAUCUAAGUUAAAUUAAUUUGUAACAUAGAAACUGUUUAAUUUGAGUUGUUUUCAUUUUUAAAAAAUUAAAAAAUUGUACGUGUUGUUAAAAUGUUACACUGCUUGUUGGAAAUGUUGUGUAAAUACAAACAAAAUGACAUUUAAUAAAUAUUUUAAGAUCAAAAUGAUGUGAAACUGCACCUACUACUCAUGGAGUUCCCAUAAAGCAAUCCAAGCAGAAAUUACAUUAGUAAAAUUCUUCCCAGCAAUAAGGUAUAGUGACACAAUAAGACAAAGAAAGUAUACACUUUGUUUAUUAAGUUGAUUGAUAAACAGGAAAUCACUGGGAGAGAGAAUCGUCAGAUCACUGUGAAUUUUGCUGUACGACAUCAUCUGUGAUGAGUAAUCAAAGACAACUUCAUUAAUCAAAGAUAGCCCGGCAAUAAGUCCUGACUAUUUUGAAAUAUUCAUUGCAGCAGAUUGGUGGGUGAGACAUGCAUGUUUAAUUACUCUGGAGGAUGAGGUCCUUUUCAUUCAUAGACCUGAAGCUCCACAUAAUCAAUUAAUUGCUCAUUGAUUAUACUGGAAGGACAAUAUUCUGAUCUUUUCGCUAGCUAGCCGGGUAGCACUAAAAUGAAUGGGACCUGGCCUGAAAUCCCCUGAUCGGUCACUGGGGGGCAGGCCUGUACUUGGCGCACUGGUAGCCGCUGAGCUGAGGGUCGCAGGUGAGGGUGUAGGAGUAGGAGAAGCCUCCCUUGCUCAGGGCGCAGCUCACGGUGUGGGUCCCCUCCUGGAGUCGCGUGCGGCAGGUGCCCAGGUGGUCGUCGUACUUCACGUCCUUGUCCCACACCUCCAGCUUCAGCUCGUGGAAGGCCUCCACGUGGCCCAGGUCAUAGACCGAGUUCCAGCGGGGGUUGUCUUCUGAUUUGAUCCAGUGGGUCUGGUGGAAGUGGCGCCCGUACCAGAACUUCACGUAGGGGUCCGUGCUCCCCACGGGGUCCCCGUCCAACCCCCAGGCUUUGAUCACCGUCACCCGGAGCCGGCCCCUCAUUGGCUGCAGGGGGCAGCAGUCGGAGGAGAGAUUGGGCUGCCCGAAACACUGCUGAGGCGCCUUGUCCUUCGCAAUGGCGUUCUCCCUCAGGUACUGGUUGACCGCGGUCUUCACGUUUCCCCCGACGACGGGGUCGGGAACCAGCUCGUGAAGGGGGAACAGGGAAUACGACACGAUGUCCGGGGCGUCCUUGAGGCUGGUCAGCCAGCGUCGGAAUGCCAUGGAGUCGUUCUUGAACAGGGACACCUCUCCCAGCCACUUUUCGCCCCCGAGCACCUCGGUGAUGUGGUUCAGAUAGGACAGCUGGGAUCCCGUCUGGCUGUCCUGGUUCUCCAGCAGAGAUCUGCACUGGCUGGUCGUGGCGGAAGGUUCCAGAAAGCCCAGCCCCACAGAGAGGCCCGUGUUCAGGCAGUCCUUCACCUUGGUGGCCGAGUGGUUGUUGACGGAGGCCAGACAGGUGCGGAUGGAGGUGAGCCUCUUCAGACGGCCGCCCAGUUCCACCUGCUGGAUGUAGUGGGUUCCGUAGGUGCUGAUGAAUCUCUGGUACAGGUGUCGGGUGCUUGGGUUGUACUCCUGUGGGAGAGAGCGCACCUGCGCUCGGAACUCGGAGCUGAGAGGCGGGUUCCCGGAGACGCGGUAGCUACAAAUCAGAGAAAAUAAAAGAGUGAUAAGAAUAAUAGAAGUGAUAAACAAGUGAUAAAAGAGGUGGAUUACUGGAAACAAGGUAGCUGUAAGACAGAAGAAAAAGAAUAAGUAAAAUAGUGAUAUAUCUUUUGCUUUCCGAUAUAGUUUUCAGUGUGUGUUGUCCGUUACCCUGGCAAUGCAAUUAUUGGGUCCAAGUGUGAUGUCAUGUGAGCACAUAUUAUCGACAGCAACCGAUUAUGACUCCUCAGUAACCCAACAAACCCAUCCAAUGAUAUUGCUCCAUGUUUCCAAAAAUAAAUAAAAAAUCAUGUCGAUGACAAAAUAUAUAUAGUUUUUGGUAUUUUAUGGUGUAUAUGAUUAUGACUAAUGAGCAAGUCAAAUUCAAUUUCAACUAAACACUUAAAGUUAAAGAAAACAUUCUGAAAAGAUACUUUUUUAGUCAGCUUCUGGCAAAAUUUUCCAUGUCUGGUUUAAAAUGUCUGUGGUCUCCAUUUCAGCUUUAUUUUUAUAGUAAAAAUGUUUCAAUACAGUGAAAAUACACAAUUUCACUUUUGAAAGAUGAAACUGUUCACAGGGUUUCAUCCUGCACAGUUAUGAACAUACAUUAAAUUUGUUAUAAAUAGUAAAAGUAUUUUGACUAAGAAUGCUAUAACUUGCUUUUUGGGUAGGCUGCAAGUGCAGAUUACUUGUCCUUUCAACGUAUCAUUUGUUUAUUUAAGUGAUGCACCAUGGGAAGGCAAGCUGCAUCACUCUUAAUAAGGACUGCUCUUACAACAUUACCAUGUCCUGUGUUAAUUCAGCUCUAGAGUGGGACCAAAUGUUAUCUGUUAUAUGUUGAAUUAACACUGUUAGAGUUGAAUUAACACAGGCCACUUGAUUGUGUAGUCCGUGAGUUGCAAAUGCUAACGAAAAAGCGUGUGCUCUCCUGUUUUUUUCAAACACAUUUUUAGGAGGUAUACGUGUAAUACGCACUUAUUUAAAAAGUAGCCUAGUUUUUUUUUUUUUUUUUUUUUUAAGUUAUUGCUUGUGGAUUGGGGGUGAUUAAAAAUAAAGGCAAAACUUGCAAUAACGAUUUAUGGUAACUGGCGAAAGGGUAAAAAGAACACGUUGGAAUCAGCCAGUAAGUGAAUCCGCUAAUGUUUUAGCUAAAUUUUGUUUCAGGGGUUUGACUCACCUGUAGUGGCUACAGCUGAGCUGGUGAGAAGUGAAGACGGAUUUGUCCAUCGUGUAGGCGGCGGUGGCGAACUCAACCGCGUUAGAGUGGCUACCGCCGACGGUCAGAUCCGCCAAGUCCCCGAGGCCCAGCCCCACGGUCCAGUCGUUCUCGAUGAGGUCCGUGGCGCUGUCGGCCACGGAAGUGACGGUGUUCAGCAGAGCGCUGGACAGCUCCUGUCGGCAGCUGGUGAAGGAGCGCCAGUCCAGGACGGACAGCGGAAGUUUCUGAAGCUCGUCACGGUGCAGGGUGUUCUCGCAGAGCGUGCACGAGUCGCUAGGGUCCAGGAAGGUCUGCAGGUCGAUCACGUAGGCGCCUUUGUGCUGAAGCUUCACGAUGUCGAAGCCCUCUCCCGCCAGGUUAUGCCCGGGGACAAAAGACGCUUUCUGGCAUUCCUCCAGGGUGCCCACCCGGCAGGACAGGACCGCGCCCAUCUGUCCCAGAGCCAGGAGCCACAGGCAGAGUCGGGGAGCCAUGGCUCUCACUGGCAGCAGGGGAGGAAUGGAAGAACAUGACAUCACUGUUUUUAAACCGCCACCGUCAUGCAGGGUUAAAAAGCACAUUGGUUUCAUACUUGGACGAUAUGAAACCCUGUGAUGCCAUAUUAGACACCAAUCAGCAUUAGCCUAGAGUAUAAUUCGGUGUUAUGUAGUCUGUUUAAUAUGUAUAAUCUAAAUGUGUAAUCUGAUUGCUUUUUGGAUUACUUAAAGUUUCAUUAGACAAGUUUAUAACAGUACAUGUUUUUUUGUAAAAUACAUUAGUUUGUAUGUUUCUGACAACACUGCAGUUUUUUUAAAAUUUUUUGUUCUUUGAAUGUGUGGCUACAAUACACACUCUCCUGCUCAUCUUCCUGUGUAGCUGUACAUGUGGUUAGUGUGUGUGUGUGUGUGUAUGUACAUUUAUAUAUGUAUGUGUAAAUUUAGGCCUAUACAAUAAUCUCAUCUCACCUGUUGCAGGACCGCAGUGAAGCUCUGCUUGUUAACAGGCUGCUCUCUUCAGUUCCCGCAGACCCAGAUGAAGCUUAAAAUGGGCCUCUUCUCCUCGCUCACCUGGUGGAUGCCUUCUGUCGUGGAAACGGCCUCGAUUCCCUCCUUUUCAAGAUUCGGCUGGCCUUCAGCCCAGUCAGGUAUGUGAAGCCCAGCUGCAUUUUUCCCAGAGAAGUUAGGACAGAGUAUCCAAAAACAGAAGGAUAUCUUCACAAUGUGGAGCCACAACAUGCCACCUGCUUGAAUCUGCAUACUCAUGUUGGUUUUUCAAAGCAAAUACACCAUCCCUCAUACCCUCUCAUUUUUUUCCCAAUAUAUCGUCAUUUAUGUUUUUAAUCAUAAAUGGUGGGUUUUAUGUUAACUUGUAGUCCUGCUAGCUACUGACUCACACAACAACACACUGUACAACUGACUCCAGCUCAAUUACAUAACAUAACAUAACAUGUUUGAAAUGAUUAACCUGUUCUCACACAUAUGACUAAAAAGAGUGUAGGCCCAUUUGACCGCACUAUAAUACCUUUGAAAAGGAAUGAACACAUUAAGUUGGAAAUGUAACACAGCUGAAAUUACCUGUUGGAUACUGCAGGGGUGUGUGUGUGCAUGGUCUUUGGAGAGUGUGUGUUGACCUUUGGCUGUAUUUGUGUGUGGUCACAGUGGACAGUGUUGUGUUGAGGUUUGGGUGUGUGUGCAUGGUCACACUGGCGAAUGUGUGUUGAGGUUUGGGAGUGUGUGUGUGGUCACAUUGGAGUGUGUGUUGAGGUUUGGGUGUGUGUGCGUGGUCAUAGUGGAGAGUGUGUGUUGAGGUUUGGGAGUGUGUGCAUGGUCACAGAGGAGAGUGUGUUGAGGUUUGGGUGUGUGUGCACAGUCAUGGUAGAAAGUGUGUGUUGAGGUUUGGGAGUGUGUGUGUGGUCACAUUGGAGUGUGUGUUGAGGUUUUGGUGUGUGUGCCUGGUCAUAGUGGAGAGUGUGUUGAGGUUUCUGUGCACACGUACACACACACUAUACAUACAAGAACACACAAACAUGCACAGACAUACACACAUACAUAUACACACACACACACACACACACGUGCACGUAUGCGCUCACACACACACCACACUGUUUUUUUCUGUCUGGUCCCCAGGCACUGAUGCGCUGUCUAUGGAUUUAUAUAAGCGCUUCUGGGGUCCACUAGGAACUGAUUUACAGGAAGUGAUGCUGGAGUGUCUUCAGGAGGGGUCACUACCAGUCUCUUUUCAGUGAGCAGCUCUCUCUCUUUUGCCAAAUAAAGGGGAUUUGGCUUCGGUUACAAACUGGAGGCCUGCUGCUCUCCUGUCAAGUGACUAUAUGGUGCUCUCAAAGAUUUUGGCGAGCAGUCUGAAAGAAUCUUAGCAAAACUGAUCCAUCAGGUUCAUUCAUAUUGCAACCCAGGAAGACCUAUUAUCUUCUGUAGAUCUAUUGAUCCAACUGCAGGGGAGAGCUGCCUAUUCUGUGGGUGUGGAAAGUGUGGUUCUUUGAGUGCAAUAGGCAAGAGGACAUGCUAGGAAUAGUGAGGUGCUGAUGUUCAGGGCUAGGCAUGACUCUUUCCUGGGUGGGCCAAAGUAUACAAUAUUAGAAAAGAGGAGAGUAUGUCUACUAAAUUUUUGGAUAGGCUUAACUACAGUAGGUACUUGGAAGGGUAGAACAAACAAAAGACGUGGGGCAGGAUCAAUGGAGGCAGAAGGCAUUUUGUGUGGUCUGAUAGCAGGAAGGCUUCUGGUAAAGUUCUAUUACACACUUGUGGAAAACAAACCACAUUUUGAGCAACGAGGUGCUGUGAUGUUGAUGAGGAGGCAAGACUUUGCCUUGGUUCUUGACCUUUUGACUUUUGUUGAUGCAGUAUGACUGUGUGUAUAUGAGAAAACUGAAGAUGAUCUGUUCUCUCUGUCCUUCUCUCUCUGUCUCUUUUCUCUCUCGGCCUGCAAUGGUUGUUUGGGUUUAUUUUUUGUUGUUUGGUCUGUUUCGCUCUGUAAGUUCUGUAAUUUCUGUGUGUGAACAAUUUGCAAAUAAAACAGGUUUUAAAAAUCAAAUAAUCUCCUUUAAAAAAAUUGCCCUCUGUAAACACCCCCCCACACACACACGUUCUUCACCCCCCACAAACAAGAAACUGUCCUUUUUGGCCCUUCUCUUUAAUUUAACAUGCGUUUGGAGAGGCAGUACAGAAUGAAUCAGAUUCACAACAGCAACUGGGAAAUCAGCCCAAAUCUACAUGGAAACC